CCACCUUUGUCUGUAAUUAAGUUUGCCUUCGUCCUUUGUUCCACGCGGUGUCGUUAUGUCUUUUCAAUGUCCUCAUGAGAUGUCUUUUGGAUUUUGUCCUUGAACUGGAUAAUCUUGUCACCCUGCACCUCGCCUGCAUAUUACAUCCUUAUCUACUCUAAGGACAUCACUGAACAUCGCCAUCAUGUCUGCUUAGUUCUACAAUGUCUUUUGGAGAACCGACUAUUCAUUAAAGCGGAGAAAUGUGUCGCUUGUGUGCUGUUGGGUUUGGACAGGUGUUCUCCAUCUCCUUGAUCAAGCUGGGAGCUUUAUAAGAAGCAUGCUGCCAGCACUUCAACGCCUGAGUGUUUUGCCUCUGUGGUUCAGUUUUAGACCCAGUUCAAGCUCCUUGAAGAACCUACCUGACCUCACCUCCGUUGCCAAGAUUUCCAGUCAGGCUUUGCUGGCAGCCGUUGGACUCCAUAACCUCAGCUUUUCUGAGCGAAACCUUUCCACCCUCCAGUAAGCGGCACCACUGGACCAAAUCAGUA